rnacentral:misc_RNA from 1 species
GAAAUGCGAUAAGUAAUGUGAAUUGCAGAAUUCAGUGAAUCAUCGAAUCUUUGAACGCACAUUGCGCUCGCCAGUAUUCUGGCGAGCAUGCCUGUUCGAGCGUCAUUUCAACCAUCAAGCUCUGCUUGCGUUGGGGAUCCGCGGCUGCCCGCGGUCCCUCAAAAACAGUGGCGGGCUCGCUAGUCACACCGAGCGUAGUAACUCUACAUCGCUAUGGUUGUGCGGCGGGUUCUUGCCGUAAAACCCCCAAUUUCUAAGGUUGACCUCGGAUCAGGUAGGAAUACCCGCUGAACUUAAGC